CACUUCUGUUUUGUGUUAAUAUCUUUGAAAUUGUGAAUUUCAUGUCGGAUUUGUGGUUGUGUCCCUUGUAUGCUGAAGGUGCGUCCAGUGCUGCAGUAACUUCUGCCAUCAGAUAACUAGUGACUGUUGUAUUUGUGGUGGGUAUGGACCCUCAUUCCAGGUGCAAACAGCUGUAACGAGGUUUGACCGCCGCCGUGAUGCUCACCAGGUAGUGUACCUACUGUGACAGAUGAGUCAGGGCUGUUGAGAGUAGAACUUGUAGCACACUUUCAAGUGCUGUGAGACUGUGUAUGUUAUGUAUGUUAAGCUAAUGCUGAUAAAGCAUUACUAAAUAAAGAACAUUUAUAUCUCUCAUUCUCUUAAUCUACGAGUAUAAAGUAAAAUAAAAUAAUUUGUUGAUAGAUUCUUUGUGAAUCUCAUAAUGCUUGUGUUCUGUGUAGAUACUUAGUUGUAAAAAGUCAUAUCUUCGAAAAGACAAUCCUUGUACACCUAUGAACUCACUCCAGCUACUGCUGUUGUGUGCAAUAUCUGUUUAUUCCUAAGUUGUCUUGACGAUUAUCUAGAAAGCCAGUUCAUAACAAUCCUUUCAAUAAUUUUUGUGGGCCAUAAAUAAUGUUUAAGUUUUUAAUUUACGUCCAUACCUGUAUGUUUGGUUUAGUCUUUUAGUGAGUACUUGGUUACUUGUAUCUUGAAAUCCUAAAUUUUUCCACGGUGUCCAUUAUUAUCUUUAGUCCAGGUGCUGAAUGAAUGUGAAUGACCUCUAA